rnacentral:rRNA from 1 species
AACGAACGCUGGCGGCAUGCCUAACACAUGCAAGUCGAACGAGACCUUCGGGUCUAGUGGCGCACGGGUGCGUAACGCGUGGGAACCUGCCCUUAGGUUCGGAAUAACUCCCCGAAAGGGGUGCUAAUACCGGAUAAUGUCUUCGGACCAAAGAUUUAUCGCCUUUGGAUGGGCCCGCGUUGGAUUAGCUAGUUGGUAGGGUAAAAGCCUACCAAGGCGACGAUCCAUAGCUGGUCUGAGAGGAUGAUCAGCCACACUGGGACUGAGACACGGCCCAGACUCCUACGGGAGGCAGCAGUGGGGAAUAUUGGACAAUGGGCGAAAGCCUGAUCCAGCAAUGCCGCGUGAGUGAUGAAGGCCUUAGGGUUGUAAAGCUCUUUUACCCGGGAUGAUAAUGACAGUACCGGGAGAAUAAGCUCCGGCUAGCUCCGU